rnacentral:rRNA from 1 species
UACGUAGGGGGCAAGCGUUGUCCGGAAUCAUUGGGCGUAAAGAGCGCGUAGGCGGCCCUGUAAGUCCGCUGUGAAAGUCAAGGGCUCAACCCUUGAAUGCCGGUGGAUACUGCAGGGCUAGAGUCCGGAAGAGGCGAGUGGAAUUCCUGGUGUAGCGGCGAAAUGCGCAGAUAUCGAGAGGAACACCUGCGGCGAAGGCGGGUUGCUGGGCUGACACUGACGCUGAUGCGCGAAAGCCAGGGGAGCGAACGGG